CUUAUUGAAAUCCUUGUCCGUUUGGUUUUCUUUAAGUGCUAUUUAAACGGAACAAACAUGUAGAGCUUUUGGCUGAUGGUUUUUGGACGUGGGUUCGAAUCCCACCGCCUCCACCA
rnacentral:tmRNA from 1 species